AUACUUACCUGGCAGGGGACACCAUGAUCACGAAGGUGGUUUUCCCAGGGCGAGCUCUUCCACCACACUUCGGAUGUGCUGACCCCUGCGAUUUCCCCAAAUGGGGGAAACUUGCCUGCACAGUUUGUGGAAGUGGGGGACUGCAUCCAUGCUCUCCCCUG
ensembl:snRNA U1 U1 spliceosomal RNA